rnacentral:rRNA from 1 species
AUUGAACGCUGGCGGCAUGCCUAACACAUGCAAGUCGAACGGGGCAGCAAUGCCUAGUGGCGGACGGGUGAGGAAUACGUAGGAAUCUGCCCUUAAGUGGGGGAUAACCAGGGGAAACCCUGACUAAUACCGCAUGAUCUCUUCGGAGCAAAGAGGGGGACCGCAAGGCCUCUCGCUUCUGGAUGAGCCUACGUCUGAUUAGCUAGUUGGUAGGGUAAAGGCCUACCAAGGCGACGAUCAGUAACUGGUCUGAGAGGAUGAUCAGUCACACCGGAACUGAGACACGGUCCGGACUCCUACGGGAGGCAGCAGUGGGGAAUAUUGGACAAUGGGCGAAAGCCUGAUCCAGCCAUGCCGCGUGUGUGAAGAAGGUCUUCGGAUUGUAAAGCACUUUAAGUCGGGAGGAAGGGCUGCAGGUUAAUACCUUGCAGCCUUGACGUUACCGACAGAAUAAGCACCGGCUAACUUCGUGCCAGCCGCCGCAGUAAUAC